GGUCCGCCCCAGCCACCGCCUCCUGUCUUGCACCACUACGCUCUAUCCCUAGAGCUUUGCCGUUGGGCACAGCUGCGUCGCCCCUGUAGACCCUGUGCGGUAGCGACAUGGAGGAAUUCGACUCUGAAGACUUCUCCACCGCCGAGGAGGAUGAGGACUACGUGCCCUCGGGUGGAGAGUAUAGUGAAGAUGAUAUAAAUGAAUUAGUGAAGGAAGAUGAAGUGGAUGGUGAAGAGGAGACACAGAAAACCAAAGGGACAAAAAGAAAGGCUGAGAGCGUUCUGGCCAGGAAGAGAAAACAAGGUGGCCUCUCACUAGAAGAAGAGGACGAAGAGGAUGCCAACGAGGAAUCUGGAGGAAGUAGUGGUGAGGAGGAAGGUGCAGCAACAGGGCAGGAAAAAGGCGUUGAGUCAGAGGAUGCCAGGAAGAAGAAGGAGGAUGAACUAUGGGCCAGCUUCCUGAAUGAUGUAGGCCCGAAAUCAAAAGUGCCCGCAAGUACACACGUUAAAACAGGAGAGGAGACUGAAGAGGCAAGUUCAAGUCAUUUGGUCAAAGCAGAAAGGCUAGAGAAACCUAAAGAAGCAGAAAAAGUUAAAAUUACAAAGGUAUUUGAUUUUGCUGGUGAAGAAGUCAGGGUGAUUAAGGAAGUGGAUGCCACAUCUAAAGAAGCCAAAUCCUUCUUCAAGCAAAAUGAGAAAGAAAAGCCCCAGUCUAACGUCCCUUCAGCAGUGCCAUCACUUCCUGCCGGGUCAGGGUUAAAAAGAUCAAGUGGCAUGAGCAGCCUUUUGGGGAAAAUCAGAGCCAAGAAGCAGAAGAUGAGCACCCUAGAGAAGUCCAAGCUGGACUGGGAGAGCUUCAAGGAGGAAGAGGGCAUUGGCGAAGAGCUAGCCAUCCACAACCGAGGGAAGGAGGGGUAUAUCGAACGAAAAGCUUUUCUAGACCGAGUGGAUCACAGGCAGUUUGAAAUCGAGCGAGAUCUCAGGCUGAGCAAAAUGAGACCCUGAUGUGAUGGGGAGCCCCCAGCAGCUCAGUCCUCUUUACAGCGUGAGCUUCUUGUGUGUCUGUGAGAUGUUUUCUGUGUUUCUCAUCGACUGGCUCCCAGCAAGGUCCUUUUUUCUACACUGAAUUUCUGUCUUUGUAUCUUGAUCUCACGUGAUUUCAUUUGUUUUACUUUUUAAUAGUUUGUCCUUUCAAAAAUAAAAAUUAAAAAAAAAAGAAAGAA